UACAGAGGUCUCAAGCGUUGUUCGGAUUCAUUGGGCGUAAAGGGUGUGUAGGUGGCGCCGUAAGUCGGCCGCUGAAAUCCCCCGGCUCAACCGGGGAACGGGCGCCGAUACGACCGGCCUGGAGCGAGGUAGGGGGCGCCGGAACUCACGGUGGAGCGGUGAAAUGCGUUGAGAUCGUGAGGAACGCCCGUGGCGAAAGCGGGCGCCUGGACCUCCGCUGACGCUGAGACGCGAAAGCCAGGGGAGCGAACGGG
rnacentral:rRNA from 1 species